GUGCCAGCCGCGCGCGGUAAUACCGGCAGCCCGAGUGAUGGCCGAUAUUAUUGGGCCUAAAGCGUUCGUAGCCGGCCGGACAAGUCCGUUGGGAAAUCUGCGCGCUUAACGCGCAGGCGGCCAGCGGAAACUGUCCGGCUUGGGGCCGGAAGACUCGAGGGGUACGUCCGGGGUAGGAGUGAAAUCCCAUAAUCCUGGACGGACCGCCGGUGGCGAAAGCACGUCGGGAAGACGGAUCCGACGGUGAGGGACGAAAGCCAGGGUCUCCAACCGGAUUAGAUACCCCGGUAGUCC
rnacentral:rRNA from 1 species